UACGAAGGGGGCUAGCGUUGCUCGGAAUCACUGGGCGUAAAGGGUGCGUAGGCGGGUUAUUAAGUCAGAGGUGAAAUCCUGGAGCUCAACUCCAGAACUGCCUUUGAUACUGAUAGUCUUGAGUAUGGGAGAGGUGAGUGGAACUGCGAGUGUAGAGGUGAAAUUCGUAGAUAUUCGCAAGAACACCAGUGGCGAAGGCGGCUCACUGGUCCGGUACUGACGCUGAGGUGCGAAAGCGUGGGGAGCAAACAGG
rnacentral:rRNA from 1 species